UAUUGUUCUCGCUCUCUCCCUCUCCAAAUUCAGUUCAAAUGGCAGAUCAGCUCACCAAUGAUCAGAUUUCCGAAUUCAAGGAAGCCUUCAAUCUUUUCGAUAAAGAUAUAGAUGGACAACAUUUCGAUUGAAUGUGAAGCAACAAAAUGUCAUUCUAACGACAUUCUUUAGAACUCGGCCUAGGUAUGGAAUCAAAUGUGCACAAUGUUGUCCAUUAGGGCUUGCCUUGAUCUGCGGGUUGUGGAAGUUGCUCCUUUUAUAGGAAACAACGAUUGUUUGUACAUUAUUUUCUAUUCAAAGGCUCUUGUACUGGAAAUUGAUGCAUACAAUGGAACAAUUCUCUAGCAAAAGAAUGUUGGUCCAUUAAGUUCUGCAGACUUUGCUCCCAACAGUUGAUUCCAUUGGUUGGAUCUCUUUUGGUUUACUAGAUGGGUUAUUUUACUCAUUUUCUUCUUGGGAUUCUCAAAAGGUUCUCUAAAUAAGACAAAUAAGAUUAUGUAAUCCAGAAUGACAGAAUCAGGUCAGCUUUCAUCCUUAAUCUUUGAGAGUGACUUGCUGCAUUUUCUUGUGCUGCAUUUUCGUAGGUCAGCUUUCAUCCUUAAUCUUUGAGAGUGACUUGCUGCAUUUUCUUGUGCUGCAUUUUCGUGUGGUUUACAGGAUCUUCUAGUCUUCGUUAGUGCCUCAAGUGAGAUACUUACCUAUCUUAGAAGUUAUUUUUAGUGAUUCAACUUAAAGUUCUUGAAAGAUUUUUGAUUUCAUUGCAGAGAUGGUAGUCCACUUCAUUGCCAUAGCAAAAGUAAUGAAUUCUUAAAACUUGAUAUAAAUAUAUUAAUUCAUUUAUUUGGGUUAGUUUUCUAAUAGCUUCUCCAAAUGUUGGUUGGUUACCAAGUCAAAAACUUGAAUCAAGCUAUUCUCUUUCAGAACCCAAACAUGAUGACAUCUACACAGGUAAUCCCAGGCUUGUCAAUAUUUCAUAAGAAAAAACAGAUUAUUUCCAAAAACUAUCUUUUAUGAUUUAAAAAAAUUUGAAUGAAAUGAGCAGGAAACUGUGGUAUUUCUGGUAUUGAAGUCAGUAGUAUUGAUCCUUUUGGCAAUUGGUGUUAGAUUCUGUUCCACACUCUGAAAAAAAGAAGUAAAGGUGAACAAGAGCGGGAAGUUUCUGACAAAAUUGGUAAAUUAGAGUCUUAGAACAUAACUCUGCAUCCUUAUUAUGUGUGAUAUUAUUCUAGUAGAGAAAUUUUUUAGUGUGUGCUCAAGUGUAAAGAUUGUCCAUAUUCAAAUUGUCAAAGGAUAAAAAGUACUAAGUAGUAAACUUUAAGAACUUCUCUCUCAUUGGAGCUAAUUACUUGAAAUUAAUGUAUUUUAUUAAGCAAAUAGAACAUGAGUGGUAAGUUAACAUACUAAUAUUCUUAAAUUAAUUUAAUUAUUUAAGUCUUUUUUUAUUAUAUUUGAAAUGUUUUGGUUGAAUUAUUAUAUUUGUUUUUGUAGAAAACAAUUUGGUUUGCUGGAAAUGUCUCAAGCAUUCAGGUUAAAGUCUAAAGAUAAAAAUGCAACCCAGGAGCUGGGGAAGUGAAAGCUCAUUUAGUAGACAGCAAGAAGUGGAAGCCUAUCA